rnacentral:rRNA from 1 species
CCCUUAGAUGUUCUGGGCCGCACGCGCGCUACACUGAAUGGAUCAACGUGUUUUCCCUUCCCGAGAGGGACGGGUAACCCGCUGAACCCCAUUCGUGGUAGGGAUCGGAGCUUGCAAUUGUUCUCCGUGAACCAGGAAUUCCCAGUAAGCGCAAGUCAUAAGCUUGCGUUGAUUACGUCCCUGCCCUUUGUACACACCGCCCGUCGCACCUACCGAUUGAAUGGUCCGGUGAAUCUUUAGGACUGUGGCUGAGGCCUUGCCUUGUGCGGGUCUGGCCGUGGGAAUUUAGUUAAACCUUACCAUUUAGAGGAAGGUGAAGUCGUAACA